rnacentral:misc_RNA from 1 species
UUCCGUAGGUGAACCUGCGGAAGGAUCAUUACCGAGUGCGGGUCUUUAUGGCCCAACCUCCCACCCGUGACUAUUGUACCUUGUUGCUUCGGCGGGCCCGCCAGCGUUGCUGGCCGCCGGGGGGCGACUCGCCCCCGGGCCCGUGCCCGCCGGAGACCCCAACAUGAACCCUGUUCUGAAAGCUUGCAGUCUGAGUGUGAUUCUUUGCAAUCAGUUAAAACUUUCAACAAUGGAUCUCUUGGUUCCGGCAUCGAUGAAGAACGCAGCGAAAUGCGAUAACUAAUGUGAAUUGCAGAAUUCAGUGAAUCAUCGAGUCUUUGAACGCACAUUGCGCCCCCUGGUAUUCCGGGGGGCAUGCCUGUCCGAGCGUCAUUGCUGCCCUCAAGCCCGGCUUGUGUGUUGGGCCCUCGUCCCCCGGCUCCCGGGGGACGGGCCCGAAAGGCAGCGGCGGCACCGCGUCCGGUCCUCGAGCGUAUGGGGCUUCGUCUUCCGCUCCGUAGGCCCGGCCGGCGCCCGCCGACGCAUUUGUUUGCAACUUGUUUUUCUCCAGGUUGACCUCGGAUCAGGUAGGGAUACCCGCUGAACUUAAGCAUAUCAAUAAGCGGAGGAA